GAUGAACGCUAGCGGCAGGCCUAACACAUGCAAGUCGAGGGGUAGAAGGAUUAAGCUUGCUUAAUUGCGGAAGACCGGCGCACGGGUGCGUAACGCGUAUGCAACCUACCUUAGACGGGGGUAUAGCCCGGAGAAAUUCGGAUUAAGCCCCCAUAGUACUAAUGAAUCGCAUGGUUUAUGAGUUAAAGCAUUGCGGUAUAAGAUGGGCAUGCGUCCUAUUAGCUAGAUGGUGAGGUAACGGCUCACCAUGGCUACGAUAGGUAGGGGGCCUGAGAGGGUGGUCCCCCACACGGGUACUGAGACACGGACCAGACUCCUACGGGAGGCAGCAGUGAGGAAUAUUGGUCAAUGGGCGCAAGCCUGAACCAGCCAUGCCGCGUGCAGGAAGAAUGCCCUAUGGGUUGUAAACUGCUUUUAUUUGGGAAUAAACCUCUUUCCGUGUAGAGAGCUGAAGGUACCAAAUGAAUAAGCACCGGCUAACUCCGUGCCCGCAGCCGCCGUAA
rnacentral:rRNA from 1 species